rnacentral:lncRNA from 1 species
AUGGGCUGCUCUGUUUGUCUGAGGCUUCUGAACACGCGUCUCUGUGUCUGUGCUUCUGGGACAUGUCAUGCUUCCUGGCUCUGGGCUGCAGAGCCGAUCUCCCACAUGAGCCUCCAGGACUCUGCAGAGCUCCCCGCUACCUUUGCCAUGUGUCCAAAUCUGGACAAAUGCAGAAAGUUUCCAAAUUCCACCUGGAGAAAACUCCUCAUGAGAAAGGAGAAAAUUUAUCAUCAGAAAGGAGGAUAUGUACCCUAAAAUUGGAUGCGUGGAAACCUUCUGGCCAGUGCUUUCAGUAAAGCUUUCUCUGAAAUACCUUGCAUCAUGGACUUGGCCACAAUGGGCCAAACURUGCACUUGCACAUUCCUGCGUCGCUGAGUCUGGAGUCCAUGGGAGCCCAGCGCCUUUGGGAAAGUUUCUGUUCUAUUAAUGUUUCAACCAGCAGAUGGUUUCUCCAGUUUCCCUGCUAGAUUUUUUUUUUUUUCCCCGAGCAGCCUGGUGAGGGUAGAAAAAUGUCCCUUUCUUUAAACCCUUCCCAAUGACACAUAUAAUAAUGCUGGUGCAUUCUUACUGAGAGAGUUUUUUAUUGUUAUUAUUUGUAAUGUGGUAAUUCACUGGAGUGUAGAAAAUGCUGCUGUUGGAAAUAUUUUCAGUUGAAGUUCUUAAUGCUGUUCUGUGCUUGUAAUAAUACAUUAGCUCUGAUGUGUGUUAGCUUGUUCUGAAGCUUAACAGGAGUCUUCUUCUUUGAACAUAUCUGAGAAGCUAUCAAAUCAUCUUUUAGCUGAAAGUUGACAAACCUCCUUGGAAAAGGAGUUUGUGGCCUGACUGUUACUAGUCUCAGUCUUAGUACUCUUCACAGCAUUGAGCUAACCUUGUGGAGAGCUGGGGCAGAUCCCAGGUGUUAAUCCUGGUAGCCCUUUCAGUGUGUGAAGCUGCACCAACUGAAGCCCUGCCCAGCUGACAUGCUAACCCUUACUAACGGCAUACUUACUGAGUGGGAAAAAUGGUUGCUUGUCCUCAACUUCCGACUGCACUUGGGAGUUAUUCAGGUAGGAGAUGGGACGGGAUCUUUCCUAGCUUGCCCCAUGCCUACAGCCUCCGAGCUGAACGAGAUGGCGUCACUUCCAGGGCCAGGGCAGUGAUUUGGGAAGGGACAUCUCCACCCUGAUAUCUGCUCUGCCCAGGAACCUCGAGGGGCCUUCUGCUUUCUGGGUCAGGCAUCAUGUUUGCAGGGGAGCUGCUCUCAUUUCCCAAUGUUGCCAGCUCUGAGACCAACACAUCCGUAACCACUUCAGGAUGCCCAAAGCCAUGUGGUCAAAGGGUUGCUUUUGUUAUGUAGCCUUGUGGGUGUUCAUAAGGCUUUUCAGACAAAUAAAAAGAGAAGAUCCCUGCCCUGAGUAUGCA